CACAACGAACUUUUUUUGUCUUUUAAAAGGCUUUGCCGACUUUUUAGAAUAAUCUAUUAUUCUAAAAAAUUAUAAGCUGAUCGUGAUAAUAAAACGAACAAGAGAUUUGCUGAAAGUCAGUUUUUCUCGGUUUUGUGUACAAUAUGUUCGCAUCCUAGUGUUGACUUUUCCAUCAUGCAUAUUAUAAUACGGUUUUAGUUCAAUUUAUUCCUGACUUCCCGACAAGCAAAAAUGGAUUCGUUUUUAUCCCCUACUUGUUCGACUGUGCGACUUCUAUGACCAAUUUCGUUGUUGUUAAUGGUGCGGGGUUUUUUUCUAAUUUACCAUAAGACGCAAAAACUUAGUGCGAUUAAAAGCGAAAGACAAUUUACCGGAAAUAAGUCCUUUUUGAUUUUUUUCCUAUCUGACAUGCAGAACCCCUCGCAGAAGAAAGCCACUUUGUUAUUUAGUGUGUGUGCAGCUUAGAGAGAAGUGUUUUCGGAAUAAAAGUGACGGUUCUUAGCUUACUAGGCUAUUAAGAAUUCGAACAGUCGAAUAAUCAAAAUCUCUCGGUUUUCAGUGUUUCAAAACAAAAUUACUAAAAGGUACUGGUCUGGCGAUUCCUAUCAGAAAAAAAUAAUAUGCCUAGAACCCCUCAUUGCUAUCUUAUCGAUGCGCGUCUGAAAAGUACCUAUUUUUUGGUACAUAUGAACGCACUAUGCUUAAUUGUAUAUUUUUAUAUAGGGAUUCUUAUAUACAAUGUUUUCCCUUUUUUCAUAAAUAUUAUAGGCUUAGUGCAGGUGUGAUAUUAAGCCCUUUAAAACACCUUUUGAGACUUAGGAGGAUAUUUAAAUGCAGUGCGCCCUUCAAGAUGUUUCAUUUAAAAAAAUGGCAUUACUUUACUUUAAACUUCGCAUAGUGCAUCAUUUUGCAUUGAGGAUGUUGACAGUGGAACUAAACACAUAGGCAGUAAUAAUAGUAUACUACUGGAUUCUAAAAUAAGGAGCUUUUCCACCAAAUCAGGUCUCCUGUCCAAAAAUAAACUUAUCAACUGUCGCAAAAGUCAAGUUAACCUUUGUAUGUCUUCACUUUUUUUCCUAUUAUCUUAUUUAUCUUCAUUUCCAAUUUCCCUGCUUGAUUAACUCGAAUUCAAAAUAUAAAGCUUCCAAAGUCCAAACAUGAAUAUUUUGUUCUUAGAAGUACCUCCAUUCAUAUUUUUACCAGAUAAUUUUAUUUUUCUCUCGUGACAUUUACCGUGCACGCGUUGUAGCAAAUUUUGUUUCGCGAAACGAACUGCGAUUUUCGUCGCAACUCCAGAUCGCAGUGGGCUGAGACGCGACGCUAUUUGUUGGAAAAUGGUUGCAAAUGGCUUUUUAUACGGUUAAUUAUUGUAUCUGAAUACGUUUGAUUUAAAAGUUUGCAGCAAUUUAUUGCAUAAAAAUUUCGAACACGUUAGAUUACCGCUAUAAAUUUGCAGUCUGUCGACUAAUCACGAGCUUGCAGGCUUAUGACACGUGCAAUUUUGGGGUGCGAUUAAAUCGUCGCAAGAAUCGCAUCUCGUCUUGUUCUGCUAGUGCGAGCGGAUCUGCACUUGUUGCAUCCUUUUUAUCCGCGAAAUGAACCGUGCGGGAAUAGAAGUCCCCCCCCCCCCCAUUUCCCCACUUUCCACAGAGGUUUUUCCUUUGUGAUUGCUUCCCCCCAACCCCACCCUCCCCCCCUUAAACACACAUACACACAGACUACCGAAUUUUCGGCAUAACUUUGGGUCUGGAAAGGAUCUCUUAUGAUAAAUUACAAACUUCAGUCUAAACAAGAGCUGCCGAAUGCAACUACAGUAAACACUCUACCAUUCAAAUAUAGAAAUACAUUUAAGUAAAAGUUGCGAAUUAUUUUGGUGCAAAAAUCACAAAAAAUUAGACUAGUUAGGACUAGUUGACUAGUCCAGUAAGCUAAUGAAAACUAAAGAUAAAUGAAGGUAAAAUCAAUUAAUUGAUCGUUGUAAUAUAUAAGAAAAAUGCAAAAUGAGAAAUGAGUACAAAAUAUAUAACCUUUAUCAAUGCAUCAUGAUAUGAGGAAGUACGUGCCUACCUGGUAAUGUAAUCUGGGUAAUGGGGGAAAGAAUACGAUUACUUGAUAUUUGUUCAAUUUUUUUCUUAUCCCUUAAUCUUCCCUCGAGAGUUUCAGGACGCCAUCAUUCUAGAAACAACUGAUUAAAAAUGUGAUAAAAACUGUUAUGAAUAUCUUUAAAUCAAUUUUCAACACUAGUAUGAGUACAUAACACAAGGCGUUGUUUUGAAGUAAUGGGAAUCAGGAAAUGCUAUUUCUAAAAUACGCCAGUUAGUUGCUAAAAUAAUAAAAAGAUGAAAUAUUUAAAAUAAAGGUGAUAGAAUUAAUUAAAAGGUCUGUCCUAACACAGGGUGUGAAAUUAUAAGAGAAAUUGAUCUUGAGUCUACACGUAAGCUCCAAAACGCUUCUCCUAAAAUUAUAUUUUCAUAGUCAUAGAAUUUCAAAUGGAGUCUGUAAAAAAGUCAAAAUUAAACUAUGGUACUAAAAAAGGUUCUAAUAAAGAAUCGGAUUCAAGGUCUCGAUUCACAAACAAUAAUACGCAUUGCCAAUCUUGACUCAGCAAUACAUAGUCUCAGUUUUCAUGGGCUUAGUGUUUUAUUGCGCACGCGGGAAUGGGUGGCAGCUGUGUACACACAGACGAAAGCUCAUCCGUGUUGAGCGCACUUUCCACCCUUCAAGAAAAAUUAUGGUAGAAAACGUAAAACAAAACGCGUUCAAACUUGAGACGUUUCAAAUAUAAAAGUGUUUAACGACUCAUCAUGGCUAAAUAUGAAUCAUAGGCUCAUCAUCGGCACCACAACCUUAUCAUCAUCACAGCAUGGACGAAAUUAAAUACAUCAAUCACCCACCACAGAUGUACGUUAAAUAGCUUCAAGAAAAUACUAAAUCACAUUUAAACACUUUUAACACGAAAUAAACAAAUACCAAA